rnacentral:rRNA from 1 species
AUGGCUGUUGCGUUGUUUGAAUGUGUGACUGAAUGGAAGAUAGAAAACAAGAUAGUGUCCAUCACACUAGACAAUGCAUCAAACAAUGAUUCAACUGUUAGAGAUUUGAAGGCAAUGUUUUCUGUUCGAAGAGGGACAGACUUUGAAGCCAAAUAUUUCCAUGUCCGGUGUUGUGCUCACAUUGUCAACUUGGUAGUGCAGGAUGGGACAGCCUGCAUGAGCACUUUGGUAACGAACCUAAGGGAGACAGUGAAGUACUUCAAGAAGUCCCCUUCCCGGCUGCACAAAUUUGUUGAGAUUUGCAGGAGUUUAGGCCUUAAAAUUGGAGCGCAUUUGACCCUAGAUGUUUGCACGAGGUGGAGUUCUACAUACAAGAUGUUGGAAACUGGCCGACCAUAUAGGCAAGCCUUGGUGUCUUAUGCUGAUUCGGAUGCCAACUACAAGUGGAAGCCUACAAACAAAGAAUGGGAUAUGUUUCAGCUUAUUGAACCAUUGUUGUUUGCUUUUGCUAGAGUGACUACAGCCUUUUCAGGUCAAUCCUAUCCCACCGCCAAAUUAUUUUACCCCCACAUUGUGAGUAUCAAAAUUGCUUUGAGAAAAGCCAUGGUUCAUAAGGACAAAACCUACAAUGCUAUGGGACAUGUUAUGAUGGACAAGUUCAACAAAUAUUGGGAAGAACCAAACAAUGUCAUGGUUCUUGCCACUUUCCUGGAUCCAAGGUACAAAAUGAAGUACGUGGAUUGGUGCUUUGGGCAGAUCUAUGAUGAGGAUAAGGCUGAAACUGAGUUGUCUGCAUUCAAGAAAGAUUUGGACAAGUUGUAUGAGAAAUUUGAUUCUCAAAAGAGGCAAGCUGAACCUCAAUGCAAGAAUACUUGCAAUACAAGUACCUCAAUGCCACCUGCAGAUUCUGAGUUUCUCUCAUUCUUAUCAUCCACUUCUACAAAACGAUCUAAGAGUGAAUUGAGAAACUAUAUGGAUGAUGCAAAUGAGGGUAUGGUUGCCACUUUCAAUCUGCUAGAGUGGUGGAAGGUGAAUGCACUUAGGUAUCCUGUUUUGGCAAACAUGGCAAGAAGAUUCUUAACUAUCCCUGCUAGCUCGGUGUCUUCUGAAUCCACUUUUAGCACCGGUGGAAGAAUUCUGGAUGAUUAUCGAAGCUCUCUAAAACCAUACAUGGUGGAGGCAUUGGUGUGUGGCGGAAGCUAUAUCAAGGGUGCUCACAAAGACUUAAAUGUGUUGGAUGUGGAAGAAGAUGAUGAUGAGGAGGAUGUGGAGAAGGUCAAAUUGCCUAAAAGUGUGGCAGAUUGCAACUACUAG